GCGCUUUUGGUUCUCAUAAGAGAUUAAAAGGGAAUUCCGUGUAAUUCGGAGACUGUUCCCGCAGCUGUAAGUUUCAAUCAACGUGUUGUAUGCGUUGAAUUUAUUCAAAAAAAUGCCACUGCUCUGUUGAGUGGGAAGGCUUUGAGGUAAAGAAAUGAGUCAGAAGACCUGCCAAGGGUAAAA
rnacentral:ncRNA from 1 species